rnacentral:rRNA from 1 species
UAAAAACCCCGACUUCGGAAGGGGUGUAUUUAUUAGAUACAAAACCAAUGCCCUUCGGGGCUCUUUGGUGAUUCAUGAUAACUAUACGAAUCGCACGGCCUUGCGCCGGCGAUGGUUCAUUCAAAUUUCUUCCCUAUCAACUUUCGAUGUUUGGGUAUUGGCCAAACAUGGUUGCAACGGGUAACGGAGGGUUAGGGCUCGACCCCGGAGAAGGAGCCUGAGAAACGGCUACUACAUCCAAGGAAGGCAGCAGGCGCGCAAAUUACCCAAUCCCGACUCGGGGAGGUAGUGACAAUAAAUACUGAUACAGGGCCCUUUCGGGCCUUGUAAUUGGAAUGAGUACAAUUUAAAUCCCUUAACGAGGAACAAUUGGAGGGCAAGUCUGGUGCCAGCAGCCGCGGUAAUUCCAGCUCCAAUAGCGUAUAUUAAAAGUUGUUGUGGUAAAAAAAGCUCGUAGUUGAACCUUGGGCCUGGCUGGCCAGUCCGCCUCACCACGAGCACAGGGCACAGACGGGCCAUACACUCAGAAAAAAAAAUAUACCAACAUCAGGUCGUAGAGAGAUACAGGGAAUUAAU